rnacentral:lncRNA from 1 species
UUUAAUUUCUCUCUCCAAAACCUCCCUAAUUAACUACUUUCAAACAUGGUACGUAUCCACCACCACCGUAACAUGGUCAAAUCCGGCAAGUCACGUCUGAAAAUCAUCCUCCGGCACGCCAAUCUCCACCACCACCACCACCCUUUAAUUACUCCUCUCUCCUCCACCGUGCCCAUCCACUUCGUCCGCCAAACCGGGCGGCGAUUUGUUGACAAAGAACAAAAGGUCGAAAUAGGUGAAGAACAAAAAGUAAAGGGAGAAGAAGACCUUCUUGUGGACCACCGUUUCUUCUUCCAGUUUUAGCAAGAGUGCAGCUCCUACAGAACCAUCUCCGCCGUUCUGGAUAACUUGGGCGUCAAGUUCUCUUUCCGUUAUCCGAUUACCAAACGCGUACUCGACUUUGGGCGUCCUCUCAGGGAGAGGAAGAACAAGGUGUUUCUGGGUAUUGUUGUGAGCUUGAUAUCGAUCGACACGUUUCUUGGUGAUCAAGUUUCUGUGCAUGGGUACAUGCUUCUAUCGAUAGAGAAGAGUGAGGCUCAAGUUAGGGCAAAUGGGGGCUUGUUUGCAUCUUAAACAAAGUUUUUUAUAUAUGAAGGUUUCUGAGGAAUUAAUUUACAAGUAUUUAAUUUGUUUGUAGAAAUUGAAGUAGCUAGCUAGCUAGAAGAAAUUUCAAGGUGUUUGAUAUUAAGAUUUCCUUUUGAUCAAUGUUCUCUGAUGAUAAGCAAAUUUUUUGUGUAUGAGUCUUUGAAUUUGGG